UCCCAGUGAUGGUUUGGCAGAUAAAUGUUUACAGUGAAGUUUGUGACUUUAAUAAUCUAGGAUGAGCAUGUGGGCUAUCCCAGCCUUAUACAUCUACAUAUUACAAACUAUUUAAGAUAUCUGAAUGCACUAAAGACCAAAAUAGCAUUUCCAAAAAAAAUAAUUACUGCCAAGAAAUAUGACAAUCAUGACAAUAAUUUAGUGAAUAAACAUGAUAAAUAUUGAUUGGAAAAAUAAGUCCAUGAACAGCAAAAAGUGUUUUUAGAUUUCAACGAGCAAAACAAAAGUAUUCUAAAUCAUUCUUCGUAAAAAAAAAAGUGAGCUAGUGGAACCACCUUGCUCGCACCAAAAUUGAGAUUGAGAGUGUCAAAACUGCUCUGGCGCACCAUCAAUAAAUCAACGACACUCUCUCUACCGUGGUAUUGAAACCAGCAUUGGUAACCAAACAUAUUCAUACAGAUACAGACUACCAUUCAUCUACAUUUAGGAAGUCUGGAUAAUACUGAAAACUAUGGUGUAGAAUUUCCAACAGGACUCCUUAUUUUAUAUAAGACAAGGAGUGGUUUAUUUUCCCAUGGUUGUUACAUCAUCUAGUCUUUGAAUAUGCUCGAAGUACAGGGACUUUUAUGGAAUUCAUUGACAUGAUAGUCAAGCAAGAUGUCAACAUCUUGUCCAACCCUCUUCCAGCAAAGCCAAAGCUGACCAAGGAUCUUCACCCUUUCAAAACAGGCUGUAUACAGGACAAGUUAUUCCAGUAGGAACAGGGCUAUAUAUAUGCAAGCAAUGCUCAAUUAAGAUGAAUUUUUGUAAAAGUGACAAUAGCCAGGUCAAACUAAAUACAUGUAUAGAAGAAGAUAUUGAUCUAGACUCGCAGCUAACCUUUCUGUCAGUGUCAACAACAACUGAACUUUCACAGCAGUCAACAUCAGAUUGGGAGACUGAUAAUGCUUCUAACAGAAACAAUUUCAACCAACCAAACAAGCAACAGAAACUUUCCAACUUUAAAACAUCAGUUAAAUUCCAUGGGAUGAUGUCUCAAAAAAUAACAGUUCAUCAUUUAUGGAGAUUUUAAUGUUAUGGUUUUUCUUUUACAAGAAAGUUAAUGUACACUUGUUUUAUAGUAAAACCUAUAGCCGUUCAAGUAUAAAAAAACACAUUCAACUUUAUUGAAAUUUGAAGAUUCAUAUGAUUUAUUUUAAUUCUGUUAUCUCCGAAGAUGUGAUGUAGAGCAUUAUAGGUACAGUAAUCUUAACAGCUAUCCAAUUUCAUUCAAAAUUCUUUAUAAAUUUUGCACUGGUAUAUAUAGACUAAGUAAUUUGUUUUUCGUCUAGUUAUGGGAUUUUUUUUUAGAAGCAUUUAUGAUUUUCAUGUUUGUAUUGACCACAUUGCAGCAACAUAGAUAUAGGUACCUGGCAAAUCUUGCCUUGUUAGCAUACUAGGCUCAAAGGGUCAUAAAAAAAUUUCCAUCACUAAGUGUCUGUUAAAAUCAUCUGUUUACAGUUUUCACUUUUAAACCAUCAUCUUAAUAACUUUAGAAGAAGUGUCAUACAUAUAUAUAUGUAUACAAAAUUUAAAAACUUUUCAAUAUAUUUGGUGUACAAAAACCUUUGCACCUUUUGUUUGCGGUAUACCAUCUUUUUCGCAAGUUUAUUGUUUUCUGUUUAGUAUUAAAUUUAUAAUUAAGAUCCAUUUAUUACAUGGGUGAUCCGUUUAUUUGGCAAUCGCCAAUGGCAGUCAGCAGGGUUUAAGAACAUCAGUUGUUCGACCUGCUAGUCAAAUGCGUUUUGUUAAAAUAUACUUUUAUACUCAUUUGGUCCAUGUUGUCCCUGAAAUGUGUAAAUUUACAAAUUUUCACAGUUUUCUGCUACUAUCCAACAACUAUAUCAAUAUAUUAUAAGAAUAAAUUGCAAAAGUGGUCAAAAGAAACUUUUUUUUUACAGUCUGAACUUAUUCUGAAUUGUUUAACUUCUAAUUUAAAUUGAUUGCGUUUGAAAUAUGUGUUUUUUAUCGUUUUAGGUGCUCAAUUUGUCAAUACGAUCUAUUUCGGCUCCUGGGAGCCUCUAGAUUUAUAAUGAAUAAUUUGUAUUUAUGUAUGAUUAUUUUCUUAAUGUAUUAAAUGAAACAUUAAUUAUUCUU